GGAGGGUUUGGGUUAACAUCUG
rnacentral:miRNA from 1 species